AUGGAAAUCAUUGGUGGAUUAGUUGUUGAUAUCGGGUAUGUUCCACUAAAGGGAAAGAAAGCUGCCAAUAAACUUUCCACCAAUGAAAACCCUGCUGUAACAAUCACAAAGGGAAAGGAAGCUGCGAAGGAACUUCGUACAAAUGACAUUGAUGUCAUGACAACCACAAAGGGAAAGAAAGUUGCUAAGAAAGUUUGUAGCAAUGACAUCCCUGUUGUGACAACGCCGAACAUCACUAUUGUUCCCACCAAUACUGAAAAUAUUGUAAUUCAUCAUAUUAAGGAAAAAUCGGUUGAAAUCACCUAUGAGGAUAUAUAUAACAUAUAA